rnacentral:rRNA from 1 species
AGUAACGGCGAGUGAAGCGGCAACAGCUCAAAUUUGAAAUCUGGCCCUCUCAGGGUCCGAGUUGUAAUUUGUAGAGGGUGCUUUGGCGUCGGCCGUGGUCUAAGUUCCUUGGAACAGGACGUCACAGAGGGUGAGAAUCCCGUACGUGGCCGCCGGUCUUCGCCGUGUAAAGCCCCUUCGACGAGUCGAGUUGUUUGGGAAUGCAGCUCUAAAUGGGAGAUAAAUUUCUUCUAAAGCUAAAUAUUGGCCAGAGACCGAUAGCGCACAAGUAGAGUGAUCGAAAGAUGAAAAGCACUUUGGAAAGAGAGUCAAAAAGCACGUGAAAUUGUUGAAAGGGAAGCGCUUGCAGCCAGACGUGCCCGCAGUUGCUCACCCGGGCCAUUCGCCCGGGGCACUCUUCUGCGGGCAGGCCAGCAUCAGUUCGGGCGGUUGGAUAAAGGCCUCUAUCACGUAUCUUCCUUCGGGAUGACCUUAUAGGGGAGGCGCAACACGACCAGCCUGAACUGAGGACCGCGCAUCAGCUAGGAUGCUGGCGUAAUGGCUGUAAGCGACCCGUCUUGAAACACGGACCAAGGAGUCUAACAUCUAUGCGAGUGUUUGGGUGUCAAGCCCGGGCGCGCAAUGAAAGUGAACGGAGGUGGGAACCCCUCGGGGCGCACCAUCGACCGAUCCUGAAGUCUUCGGAUGGAUUUGAGUAAGAGCAUAGCUGUUGGGACCCGAAAGAUGGUGAACUAUGCCUGAAUAGGGUGAAGCCAGGGGAAACCCUGGUGGAGGCUCGCAGCGGUUCUGACGUGCAAAUCGAUCG